GCCUUCGUGGUGUAGUGGUCAUCAUGCUCAACACCUAUUCGAGAGGUCCAUGGUUCGAGUCCCGGCGAAGGCA